rnacentral:tRNA from 2 species
UGCGGGAUAGAGCAGUCCGGUAGCUCGUCUGAUUCAUAUUCAGAAGUCGUGGGUUCAAAUCCUACUCCCGCCA